rnacentral:rRNA from 1 species
GACGUAGGGGGCCAGCGUUGUUCGGAAUUACUGGGCGUAAAGGGUUCGUAGGCGGUGUGGCAAGUCGGGAGUGAAAUCUCUGGGCUCAACCCAGAGACUGCUUCCGAAACUGCUGUGCUUGAGUGUGAGAGAGGCUAGUGGAAUUGCAGGUGUAGCGGUGAAAUGCGUAGAUAUCUGCAGGAACACCCGUGGCGAAAGCGGCGAGCUGGAUCGCUACUGACGCUGAGGAACGAAAGCGAGGGGAGCAAACAGG